rnacentral:lncRNA from 1 species
UGCUUUAGCGUUUAAAAUGGGUGUGGUGCUAAGUAUAUCUUGUUUCCCUUAUCUUUGUGUGGAAAAAAGUUUUGCAGUCUAGUUGGGUUUGUCACCUUAUGCCAGUUGCUUAGCACUACCAAAAAUGUUCUUAUCUAGCGACAGAGACUGGAUGGGUCGUGCUUGUGGCUUGGU